AUUGAACGCUGGCGGCAUGCUUUACACAUGCAAGUCGAACGGCAGCGGGGGCUUCGGCCUGCCGGCGAGUGGCGAACGGGUGAGUAAUGCAUCGAAACGUGCCCAUGGUCGUGGGGGAUAACGGUAGCGAAAGCUACGCUAAUACCGCAUACGUCCUGAGGGAGAAAGCGGGGGGAUCUUCGGACCUCGCGCGAUUGGAGCGGCCGAUGUCGGAUUAGCUAGUUGGUGGGGUAAAGGCCCACCAAGGCGACGAUCCGUAGCGGGUCUGAGAGGAUGAUCCGCCACACUGGGACUGAGACACGGCCCAGACUCCUACGGGAGGCAGCAGUGGGGAAUUUUGGGACAAUGGGCGCAAGCCUGAUCCAGCCAUGCCGCGUGAGUGAAGAAGGCC
rnacentral:rRNA from 1 species